rnacentral:rRNA from 1 species
CCUGGUUGAUCCUGCCAGUAAUCAUACGCUUGUCUCAAAGAUUAAACCAUGCAAGUCUAAGUUUAACGAAAUUUAAACACGAAGACAGCGAAUAUCUCCUUAAAUCAGCAAUCGUUUACUUGAUUAUUUCUACUUUUUGAAUUAUUAAAAGUUGUUUCUCGGAUAACUGUGGUAAUUCUAGAGCUAAUACGUAUUAAAAUGGGCGCUGUGAGUUCUCACGAACGAUCGGCGUCUUGUAUUUAUUAGAUUUUCAAAAACCAAUAUAGAUCAUUCCAAACUCGCGUUUCGGCGCGGGGAUCUAUUCCUUAUUUCUAUUGGUGAAUCAUAAUAACUGAUCGAACCGUGUGUCGCAAGACGACGGUGUUUCAUUCAAAUUUCUGCCCUAUCAGCUUUCGUUGGUAGUGUAGUGGACUACCAAGGCUUUUACGGGUACGGGGAAUUAGAGUUUGAUUCCGGAGAGGGAGCCUGAGAAACGGCUACCACUUCCAAGGAAGGCAGCAGGUGCGAAAAUUACCCAAUUCCAUCUCGGAGAGGUAGUGACAAAAAAUAACAAUACUGGACCUGAUAAAGGUCUUGUAAUUGCAAUGAGUACAAUUUAAACCAAUUAACAAGGAUCCAAUAGAGGGCAAGCCUGGUGCCAGCAGCCGCGGUAAUUCCAGCUCUGUGAGUGUAUAUUAGAUUUGUUGUAGUUAAAAAGCUCGUAGUCGGAGAUGAGACUAUUUUUUUGAAAUUUGAAAGCGGGAUUCGAGUGGAAAAUUCCGCUCGGGUUCACUUUUAAUUUCGAUAGUCUUUUAAUGAGCAAUCAAGUUAGCCUCACGGCGCUCGUUUGCUCUGUUUACUUUGAAAAAAUUAGAGUGUUCAAAGCAAGGAAAAGAUUGCACCUCACGGUGCGUCUUUGAUUUAAACCUUUUGAAUAUUUUAGCAUGGGAUAAUAGAACAAGACCUUUUUUUGAUUUUAUUGGUUUUCCAUUUUUAAUUAUUAGGUAAUGAUUAACAGGGACAGUUGGGGGUAUUAGUAUUGCGUUGUCAGAGGUGAAAUUCUUGGAUUAACGCAGGACUAACUUUUGCGAAGGCAUUUACCAAGGAUGUUUUCAUUGAUCAAGAACGAUAGUUUGGGGAUCGAAGAUGAUUAGACACCGUUGUAGUCCAAACUGUAAACUAUGCCGGCCCUGGAUGUGCAAACGUCACUUUA